rnacentral:rRNA from 1 species
AGCGGCGGACGGGUGAGUAAUGCCUGGGAAAUUGCCCUGAUGUGGGGGAUAACCAUUGGAAACGAUGGCUAAUACCGCAUGAUGCCUACGGGCCAAAGAGGGGGACCUUCGGGCCUCUCGCGUCAGGAUAUGCCCAGGUGGGAUUAGCUAGUUGGUGAGGUAAGGGCUCACCAAGGCGACGAUCCCUAGCUGGUCUGAGAGGAUGAUCAGCCACACUGGAACUGAGACACGGUCCAGACUCCUACGGGAGGCAGCAGUGGGGAAUAUUGCACAAUGGGCGCAAGCCUGAUGCAGCCAUGCCGCGUGUGUGAAGAAGGCCUUCGGGUUGUAAAGCACUUUCAGUUGUGAGGAAGGUGGUGUCGUUAAUAGCGGCAUCAUUUGACGUUAGCAACAGAAGAAGCACCGGCUAACUCC